AGUGAACGCUGGCGGUAGGCCUAACACAUGCAAGUCGAACGGCAGCACAGUAAGAGCUUGCUCUUACGGGUGGCGAGUGGCGGACGGGUGAGGAAUACAUCGGAAUCUACUUUUUCGUGGGGGAUAACGUAGGGAAACUUACGCUAAUACCGCAUACGACCUACGGGUGAAAGCAGGGGAUCUUCGGACCUUGCGCGAUUGAAUGAGCCGAUGUCGGAUUAGCUAGUUGGCGGGGUAAAGGCCCACCAAGGCGACGAUCCGUAGCUGGUCUGAGAGGAUGAUCAGCCACACUGGAACUGAGACACGGUCCAGACGCCUACGGGAGGCAGCAGUGGGGAAUAUUGGACAAUGGGCGCAAGCCUGAUCCAGCCAUACCGCGUGGGUGAAGAAGGCCUUCGGGUUGUAAAGCCCUUUUGUUGGGAAAGAAAAGCAGCAGGUUAAUACCACGCUGUUCUGACGGUACCCAAAGAAUAAGCACCGGCUAACUUCGUG
rnacentral:rRNA from 1 species